UUUACGAGAAACGGAUGGGAUGGGAAAAUUUUGUCAAAAGCCCUCUCACAAACAUUGUCGCCUCCCUUUUUUAUACCAUUUUUCUCCUGUUCCAUUUGAUGGGUGGCUGUUGAAAUCUCACCGCUGGCUCCAUCCAUCCUUGGUCAUCUAAAUCUCACUGUCGGCAUUCUCGGCGAAGGUAAUCACAAACAACAAAGCAUUAGAUUUCAACUUCAGGUAUUAAUGGCCAAAUAUUAUGUUGUCUUCAAAGGUUGUUGCCCUGGAGUGUACUUUAAAUGGGCAGAGUGCACCGCACAGGUACACCGAUUUAGCAAAGCAAUUUAUUGCUCAUACACUACAUAUGAAGAAGCUAUACACCAAUUCUGUAUGUAUCAAAGCAAAGUUUCCACACCAAAUAGUCUACAUCAACUUAAAUCCAAGGAAGGAUGCUCUUCCACACAAGAUAAUGCUUCAAACAACAAAUCAAUGGAAAAAACUAGGCUAGAAUGGUUCAUUAUUAGUUUUCUUGCGAUCAGCUUAGUAGCUAUGAUUAUCUUAUAUUAUAUGAAAUGAGAACCAAUAUGUAAUGCAAGCAAGUAUUGUACACAAUAUGGAACAUGAUAGUUAUCAUUUUGUCAAAUGUGAUUGCAAUAUCUUAUAUGCACCUCAUUGUUGUCACAUGGCAAAUUUAAUCGAC